rnacentral:rRNA from 1 species
AUUGAACGCUGGCGGCAUGCUUUACACAUGCAAGUCGAACGGUAACAGGCCGCAAGGUGCUGACGAGUGGCGAACGGGUGCGUAAUGCAUCGGAACGUGCCCAGUCGUGGGGGAUAACUACUCGAAAGAGUAGCUAAUACCGCAUACGAUCUAUGGAUGAAAGCGGGGGACCGUAAGGCCUCGCGCGAUUGGAGCGGCCGAUGUCAGAUUAGGUAGUUGGUGGGGUAAAGGCUCACCAAGCCAACGAUCUGUAGCUGGUCUGAGAGGACGACCAGCCACACUGGGACUGAGCCACGGCCCAGACUCCUACGGGAGGCAGCAGUGGGGAAUUUUGGACAAUGGGCGCAAGCCUGAUCCAGCAAUGCCGCGUGCAGGAAGAAGGCCUUCGGGUUGUAAACUGCUUUUGUACGGAACGAAACGGCUCUGGUUAAUACCCGGGGCUAAUGACGGUACCGUAAGAAUAAGCACCGGCUAACUACGUG